rnacentral:lncRNA from 1 species
CUGCAAGAGCCCUGGGGGUGCCGGGGCAGGGAGCUGUUGAAUGAGUGGCCACAGUGGUUUGGGAAAGGCCCAUUGUGCAAAUUUGCUGUGGCAGCACUCACAGCCCAAGGCCUUUUGAGACCCAACAAAUCAGGCUUUGGCCCCUGAGAGGGUGUUGCUGCCUUUGAAUGAAGUAGGGACCUGGUGGGAAAAUGGCUGGAGGGCGUAUUGCCUCCAUAGCCAAACUCAGGAACUAGAGGGAUACAGCAGAACUGCUGGAGUAGUGAGCCCUUUACCUAGCAUCGCCAUCAGGAGAGCAGUCCAAGACUGCUCAACAACACUCAAAAUGACUCUUAUUUUUUUAAAAAUCUAAUUAUAUAGACUUUUCUAGAAAGCACAGUUUUUAUUACUGCCAAACUGUAUGCUUCAUCUUCAUUCUAAUUAUAGUUUUCAUUAUCUCAUCCAAUUAUGCAACAAACACUUAUUAGAUCCUACUGUGAGUGAUCAGGAUGGUGCGGCUCUGGCAUGAGGGUAGACAUGCAGAUGAACUGAAGGAACUCAAAGUUCAGAAAUGAACCUUUACAGUUAGGGUUGACUGAUCUCUGGCAAAGGUGCCAAGGCAGCACAGUGGAGGUGGGAAGGACUGUCUUUUUGGCAAAUGGUUCUGGGACAACUGGACAUUCCAAAGCAAAAGAGUGACCACCGCCGGGCACAAUGGUGUGUGCCUAUAAUCCCAGAGACUUGGGAGGCUGAGGCAGGAGGAUUGCAAAUUACAAGGUAGCCUGGGCAAUUUAGUGAAGCCUGUCUCAAAAUAAAAUAAAAAGGACUGGGGAUGUGGCUCAGUGGCAAAGCACCCCUGGGUUCAAUCCCCAGGAACAAAGAAAAAAACAAGAGUGACCAUAGAUCCCUAUCUUACCUCAAAUUAAUUCAAAAUGGGCUGCAGGACUGAAUGUAACAGCUAAAACCAUAAAACUUAGAGAACACAGGGGGGAAAGACUUCAUAGAGAUGGUAU